UACAGAGGUCCCAAGCGUUGUUCGGAUUCACUGGGCGUAAAGGGUGCGUAGGUGGUAGGGUAAGUUUGAUGUGAAAUCUCCGAGCUUAACUCGGAAACUGCAUUGAAUACUAUUUUACUUGAGGUUUGGAGGGGGGACUGGAAUUCUCGGUGUAGCAGUGAAAUGCGUAGAUAUCGGGAGGAACACCUGUGGCGAAAGCGGCGCACUGGACCAUAACUGACGCUGAUGCGCGAAAGCUAGGGGAGCAAACAGG
rnacentral:rRNA from 1 species